rnacentral:rRNA from 1 species
GCUUGUCUCAAAGAUUAAGCCAUGCAUGUCUAAGUAUAAACAAAUCUAUACUGUGAAACUGCGAAUGGCUCAUUAUAUCAGUUAUAGUUUAUUUGAUGGUUCUUGCUACUUGGAUAACCGUAGUAAUUCUAGAGCUAAUACAUGCAUCAAACCCCGACUUCUGGAAGGGGUGUAUUUAUUAGAUAACAAAUCAAUAUUCCCCGUGUCUAUUGUGAUGACUCAUAGUAACUGAUCGAAUCGCAUGGUCCUUGACCGCGAUACAUCAUUCAAGUUUCUGCCCCAUCAGCUUUCGAUGGUAGUGUAUUGGACUACCAUGGCUUUAACGGGUAACGGAGGAUUAGGGUUCGAUUCCGGAGAGGGAGCCUGAGAAACGGCUACCACAUCUAAGGAAGGCAGCAGG